AAGAACAAGCCACCCGACGAAGGCCUGACUCUCCAAUGGGUCACCUGUACAGCAAGAGCAGGAGCAAGGGUGGGCUUGGUAACUGCAUAUGGAACACAACGGAAUCCAAGGCCGCGCGAUCCCUUCCUCCUCUGCGUCGCCUGCUGGUCCGUACGGGCGAGGAGCAGGUGAUUCGUAAAGGAAUAUUCCGCCUUACUGGCAGGACUGCACCUUAAUAUUCUACGUUGCUGGGCGAUGCAUGUUGAGGUGCUUAAGGUGAAGGAAGGUCUCGUGUAUAAAUAGUGGGAUAGGCCCCGCGAACACUCCAGUCGUGCCCAGUCGUGCCCUCCGUGUCCUCGUUCCGUCGGGCAGCACCUUCCCUCCAGCCCAGGGCGUCCCCUCUGCCGUGUUCCCUUCGCCCCUCGUCCCGCCGCCUCCCAGAAUGAGUGGUGGUCUGCGGUGGUUGGUGGCGGUGGCCGUGAUGGUGGUUUUAUUGAUGCAAGUCUUCCAGCCCGCCAUGUCCCAGCCUGCCAACACAGGCUUUAAACCUUUCGUGUUCCACGGCGAGGAGGCGAAGAAACCCAGUGCGGGUUUAGUGAUCAGCAACCCCUACAACAGGCCUCCGGUUGUACAGUUUUCAUCAUGGAACUACCGCUUCCCUUCCUUCGGCUUCAGCCACGACUAUCGCAACCCCUGGAGCAUUGGCCGUUAGCAUGAGCACGCCGUCUACAGCCCCGUUCACUCUGUGCCGACUCUGGGCCACGACAACCAAGCGACUUUUCCAUUUGACAAGUUGGUUCCCACGCUCCAAGAAGGGGGGGGAUUAUUGGGGUCUUGGUGUCUUACCGACUGUCUGGGACAUUCGGCCAACUAGUUGCCAGUAUGUCGUGUUAACCCUGACGACUCCAGACUCCCGUCACGACGUCGGCGCAGCAUUCGGCAACAGUCUCAAGACCUCUUUCAAGACAUGCCCGACCCUUUCACAUCAACACCCAAGACCUCGUGUACCCUAGAGUCGUGGGUAGUCGUGGCCCAGAGUCGGCAAAGUGUGAACGGUGCUUAGGAUAGCCACGGUAACGACGAUGGCAGGCGUGAGUUUGGUGGGACUUUGAAACCUGAUAACGACCACCCGCGACCCCAAAAUGCUGUGAUUCAAACCUACUGCUUCCCGACCACGUGGGGGAAGGUGGGGCAAAAUGACACGGGUGGGUAAUAUGGAGCACCCCGUUUUCUGUGUUUUUAGCUUCUGUCGGCUAUUGAUAAGGAUGUGGACUUACUCCUCGGCUCAUUAGUCACCUGUAACAUCGGGGCAAGUUUGGACGCCGUCGUUUGUUUGUGUGUGAAAAAUCCCAGAAUAUUUUAUCGCCAGCUGAUCUAUUGGUAAGGGUCUGAUAACAGCGUGUUUGUAGGAAUACUGUGACUCAUUCAUGUUGUUGCAUGAUUCUUUGGUGGUGCUCUGUGAAUGAGUCUGACUACUGGAACAUUUCUCUGCACCACCAUUGUUCCGCUGAGAUUGUUGUUAACAUUUUCAUUGGGGCAAAACGGCCCACUUAACAAUGAUUAAUUUUUGCUGCUAACUGACUCACAACUUCACUGAACAAAGAUAAGGACAAAGUGUUCACUGUUUCUUUUAUAUGAAUAUUAAUUUUAUGUUCAGGAAGGUAAUGUCACUUUUCAUUUGUGAGUAGUUUAUAAGAAUUCAUUGGUGUUCAUGCUACUGAGCCUAAGAGCAAUUAUUUUCUAAUGGUAUAAGAACUAGAUUAUUUUAGUUUUAUGUUAAGUAAUCUUUCUAGUGUGGCGCUCUAUCAAAACGUAUGUGUUGGCGUGUUACCAAGCAUUCCCAUAUGAGGGCCAUUUUGUCCCAUACGUGAGGUCCGUUUUGCCCCACCCAGGGUACAAAAUGGCCCGCCUGUGGCUAUUUUUUUUAUUUUUUAAUUCUCAUGGGUAAAGGAUCUAAAGUGGUUCUUUCAAAGAGAGUUUAUUUUGUUUAAUGAUGAAUAAAGAUUGCAAAAACACCAA